AGACUCCUGUCCUGAUCACGGAGACCCCGUUGUGUCACCCAGAUUUGACAUUACCUUGCAUGUGUGUGAACCAGAACAGCACCUCCCACGUAGGAAGCUCGUGAUUUCCAGAUCUCUGCAAAUGGCUUUCUUGCCAAGAAGAGAAGAAGCCACAUUCCAGUGGAAAUCAGGCCUCUAAUCCAAGCAUAUUGCUUGCUAUUAAUUGCCAAAACAGGACUGCUAAUGAGGAAUGUAUUUGCAUAUGUGUGCAAAAGCUGAAUCAUUGAAAAUGUUCCUUGAAACUCUCUUUGGACAUUCCCAGCUAGAGAGCGAAGAGUGUGAAAAGUAGUCUGGUUUUUGAAACUUAGGUAUUUCAUAUUUUUCCCCUCAAGAACUUUUUUAAAGAAAUGGAUUUGCCAUCCUCCUUAAUUUUCAGGACUGCCUUGGUGGCUUUGUUUGCUGAGACAAGGCCCACAACCUGUGCCUCGCCUGUUAACCCUUACUUUGAAUUCAAAGAAUCUAUUUAAGAAUCUAAUAUAUGAGACUUUCUUUGAUUUCUCCUCAUUCUACUCAGCUUAACAGAGAUAAAGAAAUUAUUUGAAUAAACUGAACAGAGGCUC
rnacentral:lncRNA from 1 species